AUGCAUGUCUAAGUAUAAGCAAUAAUACCGCGAAACUGCGAAUGGCUCAUUAUAUAAGUUAUCGUUUAUUUGAUAGCACAUUUACCUACUUGGAUAACCGUGGUAAUUCUAGAGCUAAUACAUGCUAAAAAUCCCGACUUCGGAAGGGAUGUAUUUAUUAGAUUAAAAGCCAACGCCCUUCGGGGCUUCUUGGUGAUUCAUGAUAACUGGUCGAAUCGCAUGGCCUUGCGCCGGCGAUGGUUCAUUCAAAUUUCUUCCCUAUCAACUUUCGAUGCGAAGGUAUUGUCUUCGCAUGGUUGCAACGGGUAACGGAGGGUUAGGGCUCGACCCCGGAGAAGGAGCCUGAGAAACGGCUACUACAUCCAAGGAAGGCAGCAGGCGCGCAAAUUACCCAAUCCCGACACGGGGAGGUAGUGACAAUAAAUACUGAUACAGGGCUCUUUUGGGUCUUGUAAUCGGAAUGAGUACAAUUUAAAUCCCUUAACGAGGAACAAUUGGAGGGCAAGUCUGGUGCCAGCAGCCGCGGUAUUCCAGCUCCAAUAGCGUAUAUUAAAGUUGUUGUGGUUAAAAAGCUCGUAGUUGAACCUUGGGCCUGGCUGGCCGGUCCCCCUCACCGGGUGCACUGAUCCAGCCGGGCCUUUCCCUCUGUGGAACCUCAUGGCCUUCACUGGCUGUGCUGGGGAAACAGGACUUUUACUUUGAAAAAAUUAGAGUGCUCCAGGCAGGCCUAUGCUCGAAUACAUUAGCAUGGAAUAAUAGAAUAGGACGUGUGGUUCUAUUUUGUUGGUUUCUAGGACCGCCGUAAUGAUUAAUAGGGACAGUCGGGGGCAUCAGUAUUCAAUUGUCAGAGGUGAAAUUCUUGGAUCUAUUGAAGACUAACUACUGCGAAAGCAUUUGCCAAGGAUGUUUUCAUUGAUAAGGAACGAAAGUUAGGGGAUCGAAGACGAUCAGAUACCGUCGUAGUCUUAACUAUAAACUAUGCCGACUAGGGAUCGGACGAUGUUAUCUUUUGACGCGUUCGGCACCUUUCGAGAAAUCAAAGUGCUUGGGCUCCAGGGGGAGUAUGGUCGCAAGGCUGAAACUUAAAGAAAUUGACGGAAGGGCACCACCAGGGGUGGAACCUGCGGCUUAAUUUGACUCAACACGGGGAAACUCACCAGGUCCAGACACAGUGAGGAUUGACAGAUUGAGAGCUCUUUCUUGAUUCUGUGGGUGGUGGUGCAUGGCCGUUCUUAGUUGGUGGAGUGAUUUGUCUGCUUAAUUGCGAUAACGAACGAGACCUUAACCUGCUAAAUAGCCCGUACUGCUUUGGCAGUUCGCCGGCUUCUUAGAGGGACUAUCGGCUCAAGCCGAUGGAAGUUUGAGGCAAUAACAGGUCUGUGAUGCCCUUAGAUGUCCUGGGCCGCACGCGCGUUACACUGACAGAGCCAGCGAGUAUUUCCUUGGCCGGAAGGUCCGGGUAAUCUUGUUAAACUCUGUCGUGCUGGGGAUAGAGCAUUGCAAUUAUUGCUCUUCAACGAGGAAUCCCUAGUAAGCGCAAGUCAUCAGCUUGCGUUGAUUACGUCCCUGCCCUUUGUACACACCGCCCGUCGCUACUACCGAUUGAAUGGCUCAGUGAGAUCUCCGGACUGGCCCAGAGAGGUGGGCAACUACCCCUCAGGGCCGGAAAGCUGCUCAAACUCGGUCAUUUAGAGGAAGUAAAAGUCGUAACAAGGUCUCCGUAGGUGAACCUGCG
rnacentral:rRNA from 1 species